rnacentral:rRNA from 1 species
UACGAAGGGGGCUAGCGUUGCUCGGAAUCACUGGGCGUAAAGCGCACGUAGGCGGACUCUUAAGUCGGUGGUGAAAUCCUGGAGCUCAACUCCAGAACUGCCUUCGAUACUGAGAGUCUUGAGUCCGGGAGAGGUGAGUGGAGCUGCGAGUGUAGAGGUGAAAUUCGUAGAUAUUCGCAAGAACACCAGUGGCGAAGGCGGCUCACUGGCCCGGUACUGACGCUGAGGUGCGAAAGCGUGGGGAGCAAACAGG